GCCCCGCUGUGUUCAUAUUAAGAACUCUGACAGGAGAAUAUGGAGAAGAGUUCACCCACUGUACCUUCCCCUAAUCCAUUAUUCACUCAUCUGUUUCCAUUUAUACGCCUCCUGUUUCUAGCAACUAUGUGUGUUGACUGUCUUUGACUUGGGCAAACUUGGGACUAUUUAUGCAUGUACCUUGUAAAUCCUGCAUGCUCAUGUUAACACCAUUCGCUGUAGGUCUGCUGCUCAGUUAUACUCCCAAUAUAGUGUUCUUGUAAAAUGUCUUGCAUUAGCUCUAGGGUUAUAUUUACAGAGCUUUGCAAGUUGUUAGCUUUUCAUUCAGCUUUAAGUUGACUUGCAAUGUUAAAUGGAAACCCCAUGAACCCCAGUUGAUGGGGUUGCCAUGUCAUCAUACUUUCAAAGGGAAUGUUAUUCUAUCGAUUUUCCCCUCACUUCGAAGAGGAAGGCAUCCCAUCAGCCAACAUCAGCGCUGCAAGACAAUAUGAGUCCGAUCCCAUCAUCUGCAGAGGCAUCAACAUCAAGCUCAGCACCAGGAACUAGUAGGAACCUGGUUUAUUUUAUGGUUACACAUCCUCAUGACCUACCUCCAUGACUUUCCAGGAGACCUGCAGUACAAACAAAUCUUCUGCAAUAGGUCGAAGCAGUGAGUGGUAAAGAAAGUGUAUGAGGCUUGUUCACCUGGCUGUGGAUUGCAGGAAAGACCAGAGAGUUUUCAACAAGGAGCCAGAGUUGCAGCCCCCCCAAACUCAACAUCGCCACAGCGCCAAAGCCUGCUAUUACCCAACACAAGAAGAAGUUCACCAGCUGAAAAACAUUCAGGAACAUGCUUGGAACGUUCAAUCAACACAACAUCCGUAUUCAGUUAGACUGAUGUUGUAGUAUGGUCACAACUGCAUUGUGGUGUAUAUAUUGCUAGCUGCAUAUAAGUGUUUUGUAUAAUAUAUUUUACAAGCGACCAAGUGAUUCCAGCAGCAUCAAAAACCAAUAAACUGUUGACUUCAACUU